UGCACAGAAGGUGUUAGGCGACUAAUGCUGGAGCGAUUUGAAAAGAAAAUGUAGGCAUAAGUAACGAUAAUUAAAGUGAAAAACUUUAACGCGAAAAGUCUAAGGUUUCCUGAUCAACGUUAAUCGGAUCAGGGUUAGUCUGGUCCUUAGGAAAACCCGAAAGGGGCAUCUGAUGGAAAGAGGGUUAAUAUUCCCUCACCUGCCAUACAAUAAAAG
rnacentral:rRNA from 1 species